rnacentral:rRNA from 1 species
UACAGGGGGGGCAAGCGUUGUUCGGAAUUACUGGGCGUAAAGGGUUUGUAGGUGGCCACUUAAGUCAGACGUGAAAUCCCUCAGCUUAACUGGGGAACUGCGUCUGAUACUGAGUGGCUUGAGUGCAGGAGAGGAACGCGGAAUUCCAGGUGUAGCGGUGAAAUGCGUAGAUAUCUGGAGGAACACCGAUGGCGAAGGCGGCAUCCUGGACCGGCAUUGACGCUGAGGCGCGAAAGCCAGGGGAGCAAACGGG